UCGUGCUAAUCGUCGAAACUUGUGUUCGACUCAGUUCUUUGUUUAUUGUUAUAGGAGUAACAAUGUUAUAUUGCGCGGUGAUAGCUCAGUGGUUAAGACCGGCUGCCUGUCAUCGAUACGUCUCAGGUUCGAAUCCUACUCGCGCCUUAUGAGUAUGUCGAUCUGACUCAUGUAUAGUUUUCAUAGAUCACCCCUUGCUUUCGGGUGAGGAAACCUUGCACACAGUGAAACUUAGCUGUAGCCCGCGGCUUCGUUCGCGUGAACUAUAUUACUCCUACGACUAGACACUCGGAUGAGCUUAGGGCAUUCGACAGACAUUGGAUGGAGAAGACCAAAGAAAGGGACCCGUGAAAAGAGAGAAAGGAGGCUUUUGCCCAGCAGUGGGACAUGUUAUAACUAUUAAAAAAUAUAUAAAUGCAAGCUCGGUUAGUUCUAUAAUAGGUACUUAUGUCUUAAUAAAGACCAAACAUAAUUGGAUUGUGUUAUAUUAUCAUUAUGUGUUUUAUCAACUGAAUAUAACCAACAUCAGAAUAGGUAGGUUUUGCUUUUAUUAAAUCAUGAGUCAAAAAUCUAUGAUUCAACUCAACUUUGAUAAAACUUAGUAUAAAAAUGUCAUACAAAAUUAAUUCGCUAUCAAAUGUGAUACAAUUAUGUAUUGUGUUUACGUAAUAUUGGGAGCACAAGAAAUUCUUGCCUAGUACGAUGUAACAAAUCAACGGAUAUACCAAUACAGUUUGCCGUCCAGGAACCAGGCAACAUCAGUGCCAAGAUAUGAAUGGCUGAUAUCCAACUAUUUUACCAAAUUUUUACCAAUUGCAUAUUUAUCAAGUGAUUCAACAACAUUAUCAUCAGUACAUUCUAAUCCUUUUCAAACACAUUAAACAAACAUAAUUCCAGAUCAUUUGACAAUCGAUCGAUAUUAUGGGGCUGUCAUAAUUUGAAAUGCGCCCAAAAAAACGACAAUAAUCUUUUUAAUUCUCAAUCUCCUGCUAUUUUACCGAUUAUGAAUGUUCAUCAGCAUCAAAAUAAUGGCAUAAUUCCUAUCAGAAACUACAAAUAUCCUCGGCUAAAUAUGACGGACAACGGAUAGAAUUAAUAUUUCACCAGUUGUAAAUUUCAAUAGCUCUUACAAUGUAAUUUUGCAGUUGUGAAUAAUAAUGAUUUACACAACUUAAACACACCAAUAACUUCGUCAUUGCCUGCCAAUUUUCAUAAUAGAAAUAGUCCAAUAAGCUUUGAAUAUGCCAAUCCAUCUUUGAAUAAAUAUUGAAUAAUGCAAUACUUGCAACUAACAGACCAAAUUUUGACAGUAAUUUUAUGUCGGUGACAUCGACUGCUGAUAUUGCGUCGAAUAGCCGUAACUUUGGUGUGUAAUUUUCAGCUAGUAACAUUGCCCGCCGAUAUUGCACAUAACAGCCCAAAUUUUGAUAGUAAUUUUCGGCCGGUAAUACCGCCCGACAUUAUUGUAUCUACCAAACCAAAUUUUUAUAAUUAUUUUCGGCCGACAACACUGCCCGCUAAUAUAUCUGUGUUAUAUAUAUAAUAUCUAACAGCCCAAAUUUUGAAAGAAGAAGUAGCUGAAGUAUUCUGUCGACAACAUCACCUGGAUCACUUUUCGUACAAGUUUAAAUAACAAUUUGACGACCUCGGUGGCGCAGUGGUAAAGUUCUUCCCACUGGACCGAGAGGUCCCGGGUUCGAUCCCCAGUCGGGUCAUGAUGGAAAAUGAUCUUUUUCUGAUUGGCUCGGGUCUUGGAUGUUUAUCUAUAUAUGUUUUUGUUAGAAAAUAUAGUAUCGUUGAGUUAGUAUCACAUAACACAAGUCUCGAACUUACUUUGGGGCUAGCUCAAUCUGUGUGAUUUGUCCGUGUAUAUUUAUUAUAUUUAGGUAUAUUUAAUUAUAUUCCGUCUGGAGCACCAAUAUUAUAAGUUUUUAAACUCAUCUAUCGCCAGUUGACAACCAACCAACAAAAAUUAAACAAAUUUACAUAUAGAUUCCAAUAAUUUACAUUUAAAUUAAAAAUAUAUCGUUAAUGAUAGUAAUUUUGCUACUGCUUAGUGACAUGAUGACCAGUAAAAACUUGAGACCAUAUAAUUUGCAAUUAUUACAAAUUUAUAGCUUUUAAACGUUUCAAAUCUGGGUGAUUUGUUCUAAUAUUUUUUAUUUAUUUAAAUCCCGAAAGAUAGUUUGUAAACCAAUAUCUAAUAGAAAAUGUAAACCAAUGAAUAAUGUAAACCAAUUAUGUAUAUAUAUAAUUGUUUAUAUUAGAAAUUGUAUAUAUAUAAUUGUUUAUAUUAGAAAUAAAAUUUAGUGAAAAGUU